rnacentral:rRNA from 1 species
GUGGAUUAGAUACCCUGGUCGUCCACGCCCUAAACGAUGAACACUAGGUGUGGGGUGCAAAGCAUUCCGUGCCGCAGCUAACGCAAUAAGUGUUCCACCUGGGGAGUACGGCCGCAAGGUUGAAACUCAAAGGAAUUGACGGGAGCCCGCACAAGCAGUGGAGUAUGUGGUUUAAUUCGACGCAACGCGAAAAACCUUACCAAGGAUUGACAUCCAGAGAAGACCGAGUAAUGUUGGUUGUGCCCUUCGGGGAACUCUGAGACAGGUGGUGCACGGCCGUCGUCAGCU